UACGUAGGUGGCAAGCGUUGUUCGGAUUCAUUGGGCGUAAAGGGUGCGUAGGCGGCGCGGUAAGUCGGGUGUGAAAUCUCGGAGCUUAACUCCGAAACUGCAUUCGAUACUGCCGUGCUUGAGGACUGGAGAGGAGACUGGAAUUUACGGUGUAGCGGUGAAAUGCGUAGAUAUCGUAAGGAAGACCAGUGGCGAAGGCGGGUCUCUGGACAGUUCCUGACGCUGAGGCACGAAGGUCAGGGGAGCAAAACGGG
rnacentral:rRNA from 1 species